rnacentral:lncRNA from 1 species
ACCAUUGUUGGAAGGGAAAAUGAUGUCUCAAAGGUGGUUGACCUGUUAGUCAAUCCUAAAGAUGAGCAGGUUGUUUCUGUUGUACCUAUAGUAGGUAUGGCAGGUCUUGGCAAAACUGCAUUGGCAAAGCUGGUGUAUGAUGAUCUGCGUGUGAAAAGGCAUUUUGGUGUCAAAUCCUGGGUCUGUGUUUCUGAUCAUUUUAGUGUCAAAAAGAUUUUAGGAGCGAUGUUUGAACAGCUUACUGGUGAUAGACAUACCUCAAUGCCAGAAAAUAUGAAUGCAAUGAUUAUGAAGCUCAAGGAGAGGAUAGAAAAGGAUCAGAGCAAGUAUCUUCUUGUCCUUGAUGAUGUCUGGGAUGUUGAGAAAUGGGAGGAACUACAGCUUUGUCUGAAAGGAGUUAGUACAAAUGGUGGGAAUGGAAUUAUUGUCACAACACGCAUUCAAGAUGUAGCAUCAAAAGUGCAAGCCCUUCCAAAUCGAAGGCAUCAAGCAGGAAGACUAGAAGAUGAAGAAUGUUGGUCCAUAAUUAAACAACGAGCAUUGAUGGACUCUCCAAUAUCUCACGAAUUAGAGUUAAUUGGAAAGGAAAUUGCUAAGCAAUGUCGAGGAGUGCCGUUGGUAGCUAAACUUAUGGGAGGGAUAAUGGGCAAAAUUGAAAUGAGUCCUCGCGCAUGGUCGAAAAAUCAAAGAACUGAUGCAUGGGGUUCAAUGGAAAGUGUGUUAAAGUUAAGUUUCGAUCACUUGUCUUCUCCAUAUGUGAAGAAGUGUUUUGAAUACUGUGCCAUGUUUCCUAAAGAUUAUUGCUUUGGGAAAGAGGAAUUGAUCCAACUGUGGACGGCUGAAGGAUUUCUUGGCAGCUCUAUGGAAAUGGUAGAUAUUGGUGACCAAUACUUGAAUGAAUUGUUAUCAAAUUCCUUAUUUCAAGAUGUCAAGAAGGACAAAUUCGGGAAUAUUCUCACAUUCAAGAUGCACGACUUGGUGCAUGAUUUAUCUUUGUCUGUGUCAAAGUUUGAUACUUUGUUUUUUCGAGAAAAUUCCACUCUCACCUCAGCUCAGUGUUCUCAUAUUCGUCAUCUCAAUGUUGGAUGUGACGGGAAAUUAUUACCAGAAAUCUUAAAGAAGGUAGCUCCACACUUACACUCACUGUUUUCUGAGAUUGAUGUGUUCAAGCAACUAUCAAUAAGCUUCACAAGAUUACGAGUCCUAAAGUUUGUCGGUGCUAAUUAUGUUCUUGAGUUGCCAGAUUCCCUUGGAGAAUUGAAGCACUUGAGGUAUUUGGACAUCUCAGGGACCUUUAUCAAAGCACUGCCUAAGUCCACAGCUAAACUUUACCAUCUCCAAACAUUAAGGCUCUUGGAUUUGCCGAGACUCACCCUUCCAGAUGGAUUGGAAAAUUUGAUAAGCUUGACGCACUUAUAUUUUGAUAGUCAAGAAGUUCAGCCAAAUAAUAUUGGAAACCUAACUUGUCUUCAAACAUUACCCCUAUUUGUUGUGGGUUCAGAAAGGGGACGUUCGAUUAAGGAGCUAGGAUCCUUAAACGAACUGCGUGGAAAACUGAAGAUAUGCCAUCUUGGGGGUGUUAGAGACAAACAAGAGGCUAAUGGAGCAAAUCUGCACCGUAAAGAAAAAUUAUGCAAGUUGAUAUUUGAUUUUGAAGGGAGUCACAGUGGGGGUGGUUAUAACUGUGACGAAGUGAUGGAAGGUCUCCAACCUCACUCAAAUUUGCAAAGCUUAAUUGUUAGGAAUUAUGAAGGUGAAAGCUUUCCCUCAUGGAUGUUAAAACCUGUUGGUGAUUCUAAUACUGGUUUGUUUUUGCUUAACAAUUUGAUGGAGCUGAAUUUUUACGAUUGCAUCAACUGUGAAAGUCUUCCACCUCUGGGCCAAUUGCACAAUCUCCAGUUUCUUGAGUUGAGAAAUAUGAAGAAAGUGAAACACAUGGGUAAUGAAUUUUAUGGCAACGAAGGUAUUGAUGGUAUGAAUAAGGUGAUCAAGGUGUUUCCUGCAUUGAAAAAAUUCACCUUAAAUGGGAUGGCAAAUCUUAAAAAAUGGACAGCAAUGGCGGCGACAAAGACGAUCAUGUUUCCUUGCUUGGUGGAGCUGAAUAUUUGGGAUUGUCCCAUGUUGAAAAGUGUUCCACUUACGGGACAAUGUUCAUCUCUUGAAAAGCUUAGCAUUUUCGAUUGCAAAAACUUAAGCAAGAUUGGAGACGGAUUAUCUACCUCCACUUGUCUCAAAGAAUUAGCUCUAAAGAAUUGUCCUAAUUUAAGUUGGAUUCCAAAUUUGGAAGGAUUUUCCUCUCUUCAAAAUCUGUCAAUUGAUAGCUGCAAUGAAUUGGAAGCUCUUCCAAUAACUGGGAGGUGUUCAUCUCUUGAAAAGCUUAGCAUUCUCGAUUGCGAGAAAUUAAGAAAGAUUGGGUACGGUUUAUCUACCUCCACUUGUCUUAAAGAAUUAGAGCUAUUGUGGUGUCCUAAUUUAACUUCCAUUCCAAAAUUGGAAGGAUUUUCGUCUAUUCAGAAUCUGUCAAUUGAUAGCUGCAUCAAAUUGGAAGUUCUUGAGAUAUCCGGAGGAUGUUCAGUUUUUGAAAAGCUUAGCAUUUCCAAGUGUAAAACAUUAUCCAAGAUUGGAGACAGAUUAUUUACCUACACUUGUCUCAAAGAAUUAAAUCUAGAAGAUUGUCCUAAUUUAAGUUCGAUUCCAAAUUUGAAAGGAUUUUCGUGUCUCCAAAAUCUGUCAAUUCAUACCUGCAACGGAUUGGAAGUUCUUCCGAUAUUUGGAGCAUGCUCAUCUCUUGAAAAGCUUAACAUUUUCGGUUGCGAAAAAUUAAGCAAGAUUGGAGACGGAUUAUCUACCUCCACUUGUCUCAAAGAAUUAGGUCUAAAGAAUUGUCCUAAUUUAAGUUUAAUUCCAAAUUUAGAAGGAUUUUCCUAUCUUCAAAAUAUCUCGAUUGAUAGCUGCAACGGAUUGGAAGUUCUUCCAAUAAUUGGAAGGUGUUCAUCUCUCGAAAAGCUUAGCAUUUCCGAUUGCAAAAAAUUAAGCAAGAUUGGAGACGGAUUAUCUACCUCUACUUGUCUCAGAGAAUUAGGUCUAAAGAAUUGUCCUAAUUUAAGUUGGAUUCCAAAUUUGGAAGGAUUUUCCUCUCUUCAAAAUCUGUCAAUUGAUAGCUGCAACGAAUUGGAAGUUCUUCCGAUAACUGGAAGGUGUUCAUCUCUUGAAAAGCUUAGCAUUUUCAAUUGUGAAAAACUGAGAAAGAUUGGAGACAAAUUAUCUACCUUCAUUUGUCUCAAGGAAUUAGGUCUAAAGAAUUGUCCUAAUUUAAGUUGGAUUCCAAAUUUGGAAGGAUUUUCCUCUCUUCAAGAUCUGUCAAUUGAUAGCUGCAAUGAAUUGGAAGUUCUUCUGGUACAAGAGUUUCAAGGAAUAGAAGGCUUUCCUGAGUGGUUGGGAAAUCUCUCUUCUCUAUGGCGUCUAAGUUUGAUUGGUUUUGGAAAGCUAAAGAGUUUUCCUCACCAACUUCAACACCUCACUGCCCUUGAAGAUUUGACUAUGUCGGGGUUUCAUGAAAUAGAAGCCUUGCCAGAGUGGCUGGGAAAUCUCUCUUCUCUAAAGCGUCUAUAUUUGAGUGGUUUUCGAAAGUUAAAGAGUUUUCCUCACCAACUUCAAUUCCUUUCUACCCUUAAAUAUUUGACUAUAGAAGAGUUUCAAGGAAUAGAAGCCUUUCCGGAGUGGUUGGGAAAGCUUUCUUCGCUAAGGUAUCUAUAUUUGAGUGGUUUUGGAAAGCUAAAGAGCCUUCCUCACCAACUUCAACUCCCCAGUGCCCUGGAAGAUUUGACUAUGUCGAGGUUUCAUGAAAUAGAAGCCUUGCCAGAGUUGUUGGGAAAUCUCUCUUCCCUAAGGCGUCUGCAUAUCAAUUCAUGCAAUAAACUCAUGUACCUGCCUUCUGUAGAUGUUAUGCGAAGCCUCUCCAAAUUAAAAACAAUUGACAUUUUGAUGUGUCCUCAAUUAGAGACAAGAUGUGAGAGGGAGAGUGGCCCUGAAUGGUCCAAGAUUUCCCACAUUCCACAAAUAAUUUUUAAUGGUCGGAGGUAAGUUCAAUAUCUUAAACCACAACUCUUACCUCUUUAGGCUUCAUAUAAUUAGUAUCCCCUUUCUAUUUGGUUUAGUCUCUUAUAAAACUUCCUUUUGAUUUUCUUUUGGUCUCUUUUUGGCAUUAUUCUGCAGGAUCUAGUUUGGGCACGGAUACCUUUAAGACUCUGUUUGCGAGCAAAAUUAUGGAUAGAAAAGUAAGCAUUUCUUAUGACAAAUUAGCCAAUUCUUCUCUACUCCAAAAUAUGUAGACAGUAUUUAAAACUGAUGGCAGAAACUUGAUCAUUUAAUAGUUAAAAGCUGCAUCAAAUCACUUCCAACAUACAUGUUGAAGUAUCUCAUUCCUAGCAUUGAUUUCUAUGGAACUAUUUGUAGGCUGUUCUUUUAGUCUAUUGAAGCACUGAAUGUUUUCUAUGAUUAUCUUUGCAAUUGACAAACUGGUUUUUAUGUUUUUAUUUGACAAAGAUUUUGUGGAUAUGGUAAGUCCCUUUCUAUAUAUAGUCAUUGCAAUGUACAACUAUAAAUUCAAUCACAUUGCAAAUGAGCCUCAUUUAAUUCCUGAACAUUACCAUAACUCCAUAAAACAUUCAUUUAGUUUGGAGCUACAAGUCUCAUAUAUUGCUUUGUUCAUCCUUUGUUUUCUGCUAUUCUAUUGCUUCUAAUUUAAGGACGAUGAAAUUUUCAUGGUUUAACCUUUUGUUAAAGCCAGUACUGCUUAUAUUUCAUGAAUUAUCCAGUAUCUACUCAUGAAAAUUUUGAAUUCUCUUUGGAUGUGAAGGGAGAUGUUGAUAGGGCUUGCGUCAGUGUAUUGUUAUCCUUUCCAACAUUGAAGAGCUAUAAUAUAAAAGACAGCUUUGGUUCACCAAUGCAGUGUUGAUCAACUCUUCGAUCGGGGGCUUAUCUGAGGUUUGUCUGAGCUGAUUUUUGGAUAAUGGCUAGUAGGCUUGAGGAUUUCAAUUUGGAUUUUCCAUACGAUUGGGUAACUUUAGGGGUUUUUUUUUAUGAAUUAUAAUAAUAGGAUAAAGUCUGAAUUACAAAUGUUUUUUUUGUUUCUCUUUAAUCUGCAUGAAAUAAUUAACUUUGUUGGAGGUAUAUGUUCUUUAUUGGCUUUGGAUUGUGAUUUUGUAGCAAAACUUUUGAAUAUAGUAAAGUUUUUAUAUGGACUUUCAAGUCCCGUGGUUUUUAUCCUUUGUUUUAAAGGAGUUUUCCACGUAAAAAAUCAUGUGUUUCGUUUAAUUUAUUUUUCAUGAUUAUUAUGUUUUAUUUUAUGUUGAUUAAUAAUAUAUUGUGUUAUUAAAGUUAUCGUAAUUAUUAAUUGAUAUUUAUUAAAAGCUAAAGAACACCAAUUAUACUAAUGUAUUGGGUUCCAUCCCAUCAAUAUUCAAAGAUUGCCCCACAUUCAAGUGAUAUCCAUUUUCCUUGGCUGCAAUUUUUUGUUAGUUAUAUGAAGCAACAAUGUUGUUAAAUUAUCUAAUUUCAGUCCAGACAACAAGGGAAAUAGCAACCAUAUAUAUAUACCAUUAUAGAUAGAAAGAUCCAAUGGCCUCUCAAAAGUUUUUAAAACAGCUACAGUUACUAUGCAGCACCACUGAAGGUGGGAGCAAAAGGUGCUCAUAUAAAAAACAGCAUGAGUUUUUAUGCCAAACUAUUUUUAAAUUUGAAAAUGGUUUACUACUUGUUAUAUACUAAUUAAAAUCUCCUAAAAUUUAAGUCAUGAGAUCCCUGUUAGAGGUGGUAAUGCGAAUGACAGUCUCAAUCUAUAAUAUAUUUAUACUUGUUUAAGUCGAAUUUAAUCCGACAUGUAAUUUAAAAUUUUUUUUCAAGUCAUUCAUAUUUCUUAAUCGCUCAUAUUUCUUAAAUUCUAAACCCGUUCGUUUUAGGCUCACUCUUAUGUUUAAACCUCGAUUCACAAUGUAAAUGAUGAUGAUGAUUACCAUAAUGAUUUAUCUCUAAUUGAUUUCAUGGGUCAGGCCACGAAUUUUGCUGCAAAAACUUCCACAUCCAAAAUUUUGAUACCGCAAAAAGAAAAUAAAUUGAUUAAUUUAACUUUAAACAUAAAUGAUUAAUUCAAGUUCGAAAUUCACCACACGCAAUUAAAAUAUGUGGAUUUUGAAGUUUAAGUUAUGUUAGUUAAUUUAUAAUUUGGAUUUAGACAAACUCCUAGUUUAUGCUAUAAUAAUUUGAUUUUUUUUGUUUUAAUUCUUAAUCUAUUUAUGCUAUAAUAAUUUAAUUACACACCAAGUGAUUAUUAGGACAUGUAUUUAUAUAUAUACUUUAAUUAUAUUCUACUUAUAAAUUUUAAAAAUAAUUAUUAUAUGAAUUAUUCACAUAUAUAUUAUUAAAUAUAUCAUUUCCUUUGUAGAUUGGUUUAUAGUUAAAAUAUUAUUACUAUAUGGGUCAUAAUUUAUAUUUCCAAAAGGUUAAAAAUAUAAAAUCUCUUGUCUGACCCGACCGUCAGGUUCGAGCCAUAGGAUGCUACAAUUGUUGUUGGAAUUUUCUCACUCAACACACGUGCGAUGUCAUGAUGAGAAAGCAUGGGAUGUCGUGACGAUGCUACAUAUUACUUAAGUAAGUAGCCACGUUUUAAACUCCUAGCAAAGUUCUGUCUCCCAGUUUUGAUUACUUCAAGGAUAUUUUAAUAUAAUUAGACCUCAAAUCUUAGUCUAUUUAAAGGGGUCAUUGUAUCUCUAUUUUAAUGGGUCAAUUAAGAGAGACAAAAUGUAGUCCUAAGAUGAGUUUUAGAGAAAGUUUCGUGAUAGCCAUCAAGAAGAACUUUGUACCCAAGUUAGGGCUUUUAUAUUUAGGAUUUGGGUUUUGUACAUUUAGUACAUUUAAAUUUAGAUGUAAUCUAUAUUGUACUUUUAUUUGUUUACUCAUAUUCUAAAGAAAAACUGAAGCCUCUUUACUUAUAACUUUUUAUCCUCCUAACUUAAUGUUUUCCACGAUGAAAUUUGUGUCUUAAUUAUACAAUUACAUGAAUAAAUUCUUGGUAAUUGAAAGCAUAUUUUUUAGUAAAAAAAAAAUUAAAAGUAUAUCUUCCAUAUUUCCACGAAAUUUAUUUCUUGGUAAUUGAAAAAUAUAAGAUAUAUUAUUUAUGGGAAAUUAAUUUACCUUUUAAUAAGUCUUAAGAUAUAAUUUCCAUAAAUAUUAUUAGAUAAUUAAUGAAUGUGAGAGAUUUUUAAAAUUUUUAAUUUACUUAUUUAAAAUCUUUAAUUAAUUUUUAAUUAAUUAAUAAUUGCAUAUGCUAAUUUUAUACAAUGCAAAAUGUAAAAACAUAAUUAAUUAAUUAAUAAUUUUCUUCUAAGAGUAACACACUUUUGACAAGAUCAUUGAACGAGUACUUUUUAAGUAGCUUACGUAAUGGUAUGCAAUAAGUGAGAGCUCAGUCACAAUACAUUACUGGAAUGAAUUCAUGACUAAAUAAAUUUAUAAUGAAUAGGUGAAAAGUCGAAACUUAAUUAUAAAUUAUUUUAGUCCCCAUUGCAUAUCUAAUUGGUCUUUCUUCUAGCUUGUUGAAACAAUGAAUAAAUUGCAUGUAAAACCAAAUAAAUAGAAAUGAAAAGAAAUGAUUAAGUAAGAGAAAUGAAUCGCAUUUACAGUGAACAUGGUUUUUUCGCUAAGUACAGAAAAUGACUUGAGAAUUAAUUUUAGGUUUUUCGGGUUAUUAUUUAAUUAUAAUUGAAACUUGAAAAUUAAAUUCAAUUAAUUGUAAAUUACACCAACAAUCACUCAACUUUGAUAUAUCUGACAGAACAGUACUCUAGUUUCAAUUUAGUCGCUCAAUUUUUGAAAAAUGAUAAAUCGAUCACUAACGUUAUCGAAAAGUGACAAAUCAGUCACCCACUAACAUUUUUCGUUAUAAACUUAACAUUUUUCGUUAAGGGAGAGGGUCGCAUUCUUGUAAGGUAAGAGAUUAGGGAUGAUGUAGAGGCUGUCAUUGAUGAAUCAAAGGUGACCUGAGUGGAGAAAUUUUUUUUCUUUAUUAUUAUUCUUCUUGGACUACUACAAGUUAAAUGGGGUAUGUUGUAGAGGCUGUCGUUUCCACGUAGGAUGCUAAUAUGGCAAGUUAAUUGGCCACCUCAACUUUCUGUUACGUCUGUAAUGGUAGUGAUCGAUUUGUCAUUUUCUAAAAAUUAAGUGACUGAUGAAACCAGAGUGACUGUUUUGCCAACUAUAUCAAAGUUGAGUGCUGUUGGUGUAAUUUACCCUUAAAUUAAUUAGUCAUUAUGAAUUUGUUGAAUAAAUAUAUUUCCUUAUUGAUUCUAUUACAGUAAAGUUUUUAUGAUUUUUAGCGGUAGUAGAAUUGAGUUUAGAAACUAAUUAAAUUAAUUAAUAUUUAUUUUGAAGAAUAAAAAAUAAUUAUUUGAUAUGACUAAAUUAUAAAAUGUUAAGCCAAAAAUUAAAUAAAUACAUAUAUUAGACCCAAUACAUAAUAGACCUAUCUUAACCCUUGUGUGAACACAAGGGGCGACAACCUUGAUAAUAUUAACAAGGGUGUGUUGUGCCUCCUCGCUCUAAUUAGAGUGGGAGUAUAUUUUUAUUUAAAUAACAUUAUUUAUUAAGGGCUUGCUCAACCAGGGUUCUUGUAGCUUAACUGUAAAUAGAGAGCACUGGUUGAAUUAAAAACACACUUCAUAAAUUAUCUAGUUAUCAUUAUUUUGCUACAAAGUAUAUGUAAUUUAUUUCUUUAGAAUAAAUUUUAUUUUCGGAGAAUUUCGAUCUAUACCGAUCUUUGUAGAGAGAACUAACUUUCCUACGGGAAGUGAGUAAUAUUUUCUAUUCUUUGGUUCGUGUUGCUUGAACUCACACUCAAUGUAAUUCGUGAAACGAGGAUACCAGAGAAUGUUAUUCAGUUGAAAGUAGGAAUUGACAUGAAUCCAUUUCUCACAAAGCACAUAUAUUAUAUAUAUAGGAUCGACAUGAGUUAAACUUAGGUAUGAUAUUAAUACACUUUAUAUUUGCCCAAAUGUAACCAGACUCAAAAUAUGAACUUAAAUUUUUGCUCAAGUUUACUCGUAUUUAUAAAUUAUAAUUCAAUUCCAUUUUAGGCUCAUCCAUUUUAUUUUUUAAAUAAUUUAAAAUAUAUUUAUAUUAUUUUUAAUUUGAUAUUUAUUAAAAUGUAAUAUAUAAACAUCUUAAUAAUUUUUUAAUAUUUAUAUUAUAAUAAUAUUAUUUACAAUUAUAAAUUUAAUUUUAUAUAACUCGGUUGAUAUUUUAAGCGAAAUAAAUGUUACAGAAACUUUGAACAGAGUCAUGAAUCAAGAGGUAUAUGAUGGAUGACAUUUAAAAGACAGUGUAGUAUGAUAACAAAAGAGAAGGAGCACUGUUCUAACCUAAGAUCAUACGUUUAACGUACCACUUGCCUGCCACUUGAACGCAAAAGCUUUAAAGCUGCAAUGAUAUGACAACACGGCCAUUGAGAGAUGAUAAAAAUAAAAUUUAAUACAUUUAUCAAUAUUACGCAUAAUUCUUUAAUAUAUGAAUGUAUAAUAAAAUAUAAUAUUCAUGUAAAGAAUCAAUGAGAUUUCACAAAACUCACUUCAAUUCAAUUUUACUGAAGCAACUCAUCUUUCAUUUCUUCUCUCCAUUUCGUUUCCUGGACUCGAUAUCUUGUUGCUUUAAUUUUCUGGGUUAGAUUCUUUUCUUCUUUAUUUUCAAUGAUAUUUUUUUUUCAUGUUAUUUCUUAACAUUUCAAUCCUUUCAGAUUACAGAAGCAAAGAUGGCAGAAGUUCUUUUGGGUGCUAUUUUGGAAGAAGCGGUGUCUAAAGCGAAUUCAAUUGCCACUAACCAAAUCAGCCGUAUAUGGAAUUUCAAGAAGGAGCUGACAAGACUGGGUGACUCACUAGAAAUGAUGGAAGCUUUCUUGCAAGAUGCAGAGGAAAUGCAAACAAAGAAGGACGCAGUGAAGCUUUGAGCUUUGGUUGCAGAGGCUCAAAGAUGUUGCUGAUGAGGCUGCUGAUGUACUUGAUGAGUUUGACUGUGAAAUUCUCCGGGGGAAACUGAAGAUUCGGAACCAAAUUCGAAGGAAGGUACUCGACUUCCUUUCUUCUAACAAUUCCAUUUUAUAUCGUCUCAAGAUGGCUAAAAAAAUUAAGGACAUCCUUGAAACACUGGAUGGCCUUAACAAAGACACCAGUUCAUUUGGUCUUCAGCAGAGAGCUACAGAACAUGUGUCUCCUGUACCUAGAAGAUCAAAUGUCGAGACGUUCUCUGUCAUGGAUGACUCGACCAUUGUUGGAAGGGAAAAUGAUAUCUCAAAGGUGGUUGACCUGUUAGUCAAUCCUAAAGAUAAGCAGGUUGUUUCUGUUGUACCCAUUGUAGGUAUGGCAGGUCUUGGCAAAACUGCAUUGGCAAAGCUGGUAUAUGAUCUGCGUGUGAAAAGGCAUUUUGAUGUCAAAUCCUGGGUCUUUGUUUCUGAUCAUUUUGAUGUCAAAAAGAUUUUAGGGGCGAUGUUUGAACAGCUUACUGGUGAUAGACAUACCUCAAUGCCAGAAAAUAUGGAUGCAAUGAUGAUGAAGCUCAAGGAGAAGAUUGAACAGGCCAAAGGAGAAAAAGAUCAGAUCAAGUAUCUUCUUGUACUUGAUGAUGUGUGGGAUGUUAAGAAAUGGGAGGAUCUAAAGCUCUGUCUGAAAGGAAUCAGUACAAAUGGCGGGAAUGGAGUUAUUGUGACAACACGCAAAGAAGAUGUAGCAAUAACAAUGCAAGCACUUUCGGAUCAAAGGCAUCAACCAGGAAGGCUAGGAGAUGAAGAAUGCUGGUCCGUAAUUAAACAACUAGCAUUGACACCCUCUCCAAUGUCUCACGAUUGAGAGCCUAUUGGAAAGGAGAUUGCUAAGCAGUGUCGAGGUGUGCCAUUGUUAGCUAAAGUUAUUGGAGGGACAAUGAGCAAAGAAAGGAGUCGCCGCACAUGGUUGGAAAUUCAAAAAAGUGGAGUAUGGGGUUCAGCGGACAGUGUGUUAAAAGUGGAAAGUUUGUUAAAAUUAAGUUUUGAUCGCUUGCCUUCUCCAUCUUUGAAGAAGUGUUUUGCGUACUGUGCAAUGUUUCCUAAAGAUUAUUGCUUUGAAACAGAGGAAUUGAAGCAACUGUGGAUGGCUGAAGGAUUUCUUGGCAGCCCUAUGGCAAUGGUGGAUAUUGGUGACAAAUACUUGAAUGAGUUGUUAUCAAAUUCCUUAUUUCAAGAUGUCGAGAAGGACAAAUUCGGGAAUAUUCUCACAUUCAAGAUGCACGACUCGGUGCAUGAUUUAUCUUUGUCUGUGUCAAAGUUUGAUACUUUGUUUUUUCAAGAGAAAUCCAGUCUCACCUCAAAAGAGUGUUCUCAUAUUCGUCAUCUCAAUGUUGGGUGCGAUGGGGAAUCAUUACCAGAAAUUUUAACAGCGGUUGCUCCGAAAUUAUACUCGUUGUUUUCAGAGAUUGAUGUGUUCAAGAAACUAUCAAAAAGCUUCACAAGAUUAAGAGUACUAAAGUUUGUUGGCGCUGCUAAUAUUUGUGAGUUGCCAGAUUCCCUUGGAGAAUUAAAGCACUUGAGGUAUUUGGACAUCUCAUGGACUUCUAUUGAAGCACUGCCCAAGUCCACAACCAAACUUUACAAUCUGCAAACAUUGAGGCUCUUGGGUUUACUGACACUCACCUUUCCGGAUGAAUUGGAAAAGUUGAUAAGCUUGAAGCACUUAUAUUUUAAUAGAAAAGAACUUCAGCCAGUUAAUAUUGGAAACCUAACUUGGCUUCAAACAUUACCCAUAUUUAUUGUGGGAUCAGAAAGGGGAUGUUCGAUUAAGGAGUUAGGAUCCCUAAACGAACUGUGUGGAGAACUGGAGAUACACCAUCUUGAGGGUGUUAGAGACAAACAAGAGGCUAGUGGAGCAAAUCUGCACCGUAAAGAAAAAUUAUGCAAGGUGAUAUUUGAUUUUGAAGGGUGUGAUAGUGGGAGUAGUGGUUAUAACAGUGAGGAAGUGAUGGAAGGUCUCCAACCACACUCAAAUUUGCAAAGCUUAACUGUUUCGAAUUACGGAGGUGAAAGCUUUCCCUCAUGGAUGUUAAGACCUGUUGGUGAUUCUAAUACUGAUCUGUUUUUGCUUAACAAUUUGAUGGAGUUGAAUUUUUUCAAUGGCAUCAACUGUGAAAGUCUUCCACCUCUGGGUCAAUUGCACAAUCUCCAGUAUCUUAAGUUGAGAAAUCUGACUAAAGUGAAACGCAUGGGUAAUGAAUUUUAUUGCAACGAAAGUGUUGGUGGUAUGAAUAAGGUGAUCAAGGUGUUUCCUCCAUUGAAAAAAUUCACCUUAAGUGGGAUGGAAAGUCUAGAAGAAUGGGCAGCAAUGGUGGAAACAAAGAUGAUCAUGUUUCCUUGCUUGGAGCGGCUGAAGAUUUGGGUUUGUCCCUUGUUGAAAAGUGUUCCACUAACGGGACAAUGCUCAUCUCUUGAAAAGCUUCACAUUUCCAGUUGUGAAAAAUUAAGCAAGAUUGGAGCUGGAUUAUCUACCUCCACUUGUCUCAAAGAAUUCCAUCUAGAAGAUUGUCCUAAUUUAAGUUUGAUCCCAAAUUUAGGAUUUUCCCCUCUUUAAUAUCUGUCUGUUCAAAGGUGCAACAAAUUGGAAGUUCUUCGAAUAACUGGAGGAUGUUCAUCUCUUGAAAAGCUUGGCAUUUCCAGUUGUGAAGAAUUAAGCAAGAUUGGAGAUGGAUUAUCUACCUCCACUUGUCUCGAAGAUAGAUUUAUCUGGUUGUCAUCUAUUGAAAAGCUUCGCAUUUUCUGUUGUGAAAAAUUAAGCAAGAUUGGAAAUGGAUUAUCUACCUCCACUUGUUUCAAAGAAUUACAUCUAGACUAUUGUCAUGAUUUAAGUUCGAUCCCAAAUUUGGAAGGAUUUUCCUCUCUUCAAUAUCUGUCAAGUUAAAUGGUGCAACAAAUUGGAGAGCUUUCCACUAAAAGCACCACUGUCAUCCCUUAAAGAAUUGAUGAUACGUGAUUGCCCUAAUUUUAAUCCCAUUCCAGUUUAGAUGGACCCUCUUUUCUCACAAAAUUAGAAUUUAAGAAUGUAGGCGAAGAAUGGAUUCGUCUGCUACCAAAUAUAUUGCAAUCCAACGUUUUCCGUUGCAGUCUAACAAUAUUAAAUUUGCCUGAUCUGACAUGGAUUCAAGAUGACAGCCUUGGUAGGCUUAACUGCUUGAGAGAAUUAACUACCGGUGGUUUCUCAGAAGAGCUGCAAGAAUUCCCAUGGCCCAGUUCCAUUCAAUAUCUCAGUGCCUCCAUUCUAUAUCUAAAACUGAUUGGUUGGGAAAAGCUAAAGAGUCUUCCUCACAAACUUCAGUUCUUCACUGCCCUCGAAGAAUGAAGAUAGAAAGGUUUAAAGGAACAGAAGCCUUUCCCGAGUGGUUGGGAAAUCUCUCUUCUCUAAAGCGUCUAUGUUUGCAUGGUUUUUAUUGGAAAUCAUCUAUAUUUAUGGAAAGUCAAAGAUAUGGGUAUCAAAUAAAGUUAAAGAUAUGUGUAUCAAAUAUCGGAAAGUCAAAGAUAUGGGUAUCGAGAUAUUGGCAUAAGAAAUCUGAGAUAUUUGCAAUAUUUGGUCCCUAAUUGUAAAGUGACUUUGCAAGUUGAUCCCUGAACCUCAACUAUAAAUAGGCAUAAUCAUCUCUCAUUCUGUAUCCCAUAUUUUCCAUUCUCUACUUAAGGCAUUGUUAUCUCUCUCUCUUUGUAAAUUCUCACUUAUAUUUUGGAGUGAAAUAUAUUUGGUAGUGCCCGAGAAUGUAGGCAAAAUUUGUUGAACCUCGUUAAAUACUUGUGUUCUUUAUAGUAUUAUUCUGCAUGAAUUGUGAGUGUGAUUGUAGUGAUUUAUUGUGCUAUUAAAUUACGAUUGAGGGAUAUUCUGGCUAAGAAAGACUUGGUACUUAAGCGAUCCUUGUGAUCCACCUCUCUUUCCUGGGAAUUGAACUUAGUGUGAUUUUUUAGUACAAUAAUUUUACUCUUUUACACGCUUCCGCACAACAAUUGGUAUCAGAGCUAGAUUCGUACUUGGGGAAUACAAUCGUUCACUGCACUGUUCACUUACAGUAGUUGGGAUUGAGGAGAAAAAUAGAAAAGGUAUCGUCAUCAGCAAAGACUACUGUGACCAAUGCAAAGUUUGAAGUAGAGAAAUUUGAUGGUACCAAUAAUUUUGGUAUGUGGCAAUGUGAGAUCCUGGAUGUCUUAUGUCAGCAAGAGCUGGAUAUAGCCCUUGAAGAAAAACCUGAAAAGAUGGAUGACAAGAAGUGGGCUAAGAUCAAUAGAUAGGCAUGUGGAACAAUUCGCCUAUGUUUGGCCAAAAAGCAGAAGUACUCUGUCAUGAGGGAGACAUCAGCGAAGAAGUUGUGGGAUACACUGGAAGAAAAGUUUCUAACAAAAAGUCUUAAAAAUAAGCUUUAUAUGAAAAAGAAACUUUAUCGAUUCACGUAUGCACCCGGUAUGUUAAUGAAUAACCAUGUGAACUCAUUCAAUAAAAUUUUAGUAGACUUGCUAAAUUUGGAUGAGAAAUUUGAAGAUGAAGACAAUGCAUUAUUGUUGUUGAAUUCUCUUCCUAAUGAAUAUGAUCAUCUUACCACCACAUUGCUUCAUGGGAAGGAUACGAUCACAUUUGAUGCAGUCUGUAGUGCGUUGUAUAGAUCUGAGACUCGAAAGAAAGAUAAAAAAGAUCACAGAGAUACAACUACAGAAGUCUUAACAGUAAGAGGUCGUUCGCACAACAACAAAUCUGGUAGAAGGAGUAAGUCUAAAGGGAUACCUGCCAAAGAUGAAUGUGCUUUUUGUCGUGAGAAAGGGCAUUGGAAAAAGAAUUGUCCUAAGUUACAAAAAGGUAAGGCUAUUUCUGAUGCAUGUGUAGCGGAGCAUGAUGAGGAGUCAGACUUUAGCUUGGUUGGCAUUGCAAUGACAUGUCAUACAGAUAGUGGAUUUUGGAUUCGGGAUGUACUUAUCAUAUAUGUCCUAAUAAGGACUGGUUUUCUAGUCUUAAAGAACUAGAAGGUGGAGUUUUUUUAUGGGCAAUGACAGCGCUUGUAAGAUAAUGGUAGUAGGUACAAUCCAAUUGAAGAAUCACGACAACUGAAUUCAAGUCUUGACAGAUGUUCGCUACAUACCUAGCUUGAAGAAAAAUGUCAUCUCAUUAGGGGUCCUAGAAUCUAAAUGGCUCACAAUCACUUUGAGAGAUGGAUUACUAAAGGUAGUAACUGGGGUAUUGAUAGUGAUGAAAGGCACAAUAAGGAAUAAUCUGUACUAUUUAAAUGGAAGUACAGUUAUUGGAUCAACAUCAACAGCUUCUGCGAAAGAUGCAGAUUCAGAGGCUACUAGGUUAUGGCAUAUGCGAUUGGGACAUGCUGGUGAAAAAGCUUUGCAGAGUUUGACGAAGCAAGGCUUGUUGAAAGGUGAAAAUUCUUGCAAAUUGGAAUUCUGUGAAUAUUGUGUUCUGGGCAAGCAGACGAGGAUAAAAUUUGGUUCAGCAAUUCACAAUACAAAAGGAAUUCUGGAUUAUGUUCAUAGUGAUGUAUGGGGACCUACUAAAGUGGCUUCUUAAGGAGGUAUGCACUAUUUUGUUACUUUUGUUGAUGAUUAUUCAAGAAAAGUAUGGGUGUAUCUAAUGAAAAGAAAAAAUGAAGUUUUGGAUGUAUUUCUGAAAUGGAAGAAGAUGGUGGAGACUCAGACAGGUCGAAAGGUCAAACGACUUAGAUCAGACAAUGGUACUGAGUACAAGAAUAAUCCAUUUUUACAAGUAUGUCAAGAUGAGGGCAUUGUGCGACACUUCACUGUUUGAGAUACACCACAACAGAAUGGGGUGGCAAAACGUAUGAAUCGGACUAUACUGGAGAAAGUUCGAUGUAUGUUGUCCAAUGCUGGAAUGGGCAAGAAAUUUUGGGCUGAGGCAGUUACAUAUGCAUGCCAUCUAAUUAACCGGUUGCCAUCAGUUGCAAUAAAUGGAAAAACUCCUAUGGAGAGGUGGGCUGGUAAACCUGCUACUGAUUAUAAUUCUUUACAUGUUUUUGAUUCCACUGCAUAUUAUCAUGUAAAAGAAUCUAAGUUAAAACCAAGAGCAAAGAAAAUAUUAUUCAUGGGUAUAACCGGUGGAGUAAAAGGAUAUCGUCUUUGGAGUCCUGAUACAAGAAAGAUUGUUUUUAGUAGAGAUGUGACUUUUGAUGAAUCAACCAUGAUGAAGAACAAGGAUUCACAAAAGGAUAACAAAACCAGUGGCACUUUGCAGCAGGUGGAGCUUGAAAAGGUUAAUAAUGAUCCAGCUAAUAUUGAAGGAACAAAUGAUGAAGAAGUUUCGACCCAAGAACUUCUACAGCAACAUGAUUCAAUUGCAUAUAGGAGGCCAAGAAGAGAGAUUCGUAUGCCUGCUCGCUUUGAUGAUAUGGUGGCCUAUGCACUUUCGAUUGCAGAUGAUGAUGUUCCUUCUACUUACACAGAAGUAAAAAGUAACCCUGAUGGUGUAAAGUGGAAGCAAGCUAUGAAUGAAUAAAUGCAAUCACUUCAUAAAAAUAGGACUUGGGAGUUGGUGACACUACCCAAAGGAAAGAAGGCAAUUGGAUGCAAAUGGGUAUAUGCAAAGAAAGAAGGAUUUCCUGGUAAAAAUGAAGUUCAAUACAAGGCUAGAUUGGUAGCAAAAGGUUACGCUCAAAAAGAAAGAAUAGACUACAAUAAAGUGUUUUCUCCAGUUGUGAAGCAUUCGUCUAUUCGGAUUUUGCUAGCCUUGGUUGCGCAAUAUGAUCUUGAACUAGUUCAGCUCGAUGUGAAGACCGCAUUUUUACACGGUGAUUUGGAAGAGGAAAUCUAUAUGACUCAGCCAGAUGGAUUCAAGGUUGCUGAUAAAGAAAAUAGGGUUUGCAAACUGACAAAGUCGUUUUAUGGAUUGAAACAAUCUCCGAGGCAGUGGUACAAGCGAUUUGAUCAGUUCAUGAAAGGGCAAAGGUACACAAGAAGUAAUUUUGAUCAUUACGAGUAUUUUCAGAAGCUACAAGAAGGAUUUUUCGUAUACUUGCUAUUAUAUGUUGAUGAUAUGUUGAUAGCAUCUAAUAGUAAAGUUGAAAUUGAAAGAUUUAAGACUCAACUCAACCUUGAGUUUGAGAUGAAAGAUCUAGGUGAAGCUAAGAAGAUUCUUGUCAUGGAAAUAUAUAAGGAUAGAGCUCAUGGUAGAGUUAGUUUGUCUCAGAAGCAAUAUUUGAAGAAGGUACUACAGAAGUUUGGAAUAAACGAGCAGACAAAAGCUGUAAGUACCCCGUUGGCUUCUCAUUUCAAGCUUUCUGCACAACUAUCUCCUUCGACGAAUACGGAACAAGAAUACAUGUUACAAGUUUCAUAUUCUAAUGCAGUAGUUAGCUUGAUGUAUGCAAUGGUGUGUACAAGACCUAACAUUUCACAGGCAGUUAGUAUAGUGAAUAGGUAUAUGCAUAAUCCUGAAAAAGGACAUUGGCAAGCUGUGAAAUGGAUUCUGCGGUAUAUUCAAAAUACCAUGGAUAUUGGAUUACUGUUCAAGCAGGAUACUACACUUGGUAAAGGUGUUAUUGGGUACGUUGAUUCUGAUUAUGCCGGUGAUUUGGACAAACUAAGAUCAACAACUGGUUAUGUGUUUACACUUGCUGGAGGACCAAUAAGUUGGAAGUCUACACUACAGUCUACAGUUGCGUUGUCAACCACAGAAGCUGAAUACAUGGCUGUAACAGAGGCUGUAAAGGAAGCUAUUUGGUUACAAUGUAUGGUUAAAACUUUGGAAUUGGUUUAGGAACAUAUUAACGUGUAUUGUGAUAGUCAAAGUGCUAUUCAUUUAGCAAAGAAUCAAGUCUAUCAUGCACGUACAAAGCAUAUCGACGUACGUUUCCAUUUUGUGCGGAAAAUUAUUGAUAAGGGGAAAAUUCACCUUCAGAAGAUUAAGACUGCAGAUAAUCCCGCAGAUAUGAUGACCAAGAUGGUAACAACAAUCAAGUUCAAACAUUGUUUGAACUUGAUCAAUAUUCUGCAUGUUUAACAGUUGAAGAAGGCGCUAUCAAGUGUUGUUGACAAAGAUAGAGAGAAUUGUGUGAAGAUAAGAUUAUUCGAAUCAAAUCUUCAAGAUGAAGAUUAUUAGAAAUCAUCCAUAUUUAUGGAAAGUCAAAGAUAUGGGUAUCAAAUGAAGUCAAAGAUAUGGGUAUCAAAUAAAGUCAAAAAUAUGGGUAUUAAAUAUUAGAAAGUCAAAGAUAUCGGUAUCGAGAUAUUGGCAUAAGAAAUCUGAGAUAUUCGCAAUAUUUGGUCCCUAAUUGUAAAGUGACUUUGCAAGUUGAUCCCUGAACCUCAACUAUAAAUAGGCAUAACCAUCUCUCAUUCUGUAUCCCAUAUUUUGCCAUUCUCUACUUAAGGCAUUGUUCUCUCUCUCUCUCUCUUUGUAAAUUCUCACUUGUAUUUUGGAGUGAAAUAUAUUUGGUAGUGUCCGAGGACGUAGGCAAAAUUUGCUGAACCUCGUUAAAUACUUGUGUUCUUUAUAGUAUUAUUCUGCAUGAAUUGUGAGUGUGAUUGUAGUGAUUUGUUGUGCUAUUAAAUUACGAUUGAGGGAUAUUCUGGCUAGGAAAGACUUGGUACUUAAGCGAUCCUUGUGAUCCACCUCUCUUUCUUGGGAAUUGAACUUAGUUUGAUUUUUUAGUACAAUAAUUUUACUCUUUUACACGCUUCCGCACAACAGUUUUAGAAAGCUAAAGAGUCCUCCUCACCAUCUUCAACUCCCCACUGCCCUUGAAGAGUUGACAUUCAGGGGUUUCAUGAAAUAGAAGCCUUGCCAGACUCGUUCAGAAAUCUCUCUUCCCUAAGGUAUCUGUGUAUCCAUUCAUGCAAUAAGCUCAUGUACCUGCCUUUUGUAGAUGUUAUGCAAAGCCUCUCCAAAUUAAAACGCAAAAACAUUCUAGAUUGUCCUCAAUUAGAGACAAGAUGUGAGCGGGAGAGUGGCCCUAAAUGGUCCAAGAUUUCCCACAUUCCACGUAUAUCUAUUAAUCUUCGGAUGUAAGUUCAGUAAUACCCUUUGUUCUUCUCACCCUCAGCCACUUGAUUUAGUCUCAUAUAAAGCCUUGUUUUAAUUUUUUUUUUUGGCUUUUGUGGCAUAAUGUUGCAGUAUUGUGAUUGGGCAUGGAUACCUUUGAGACUAUCCGUUUGAGAACCAAAUUAUGAAUUGAAUGUGUGGAUACAAAAGUAAGUUGUGGUUCUAUUUCCUUUCCAAGAAAAUUAUGAUAUGAUGCCUUUAGAUUUUGCCUUGAUUAAAAAUUCCAUGGAUAUUAUAAGUCCCUUUUCUCAUAUCUUAUAUUUUUAACUUAAAUUUUGAUAAAGGUUUCAUGGAUAUCAUAUUUUUCUUCUUGUCUUUCCUACAAAAAUAUAUCAUUGCUGCCCUCUCUUACAAACUUCUCAAAUCAUAUUGUGACAUAUUUAAGGUAACUGGUGUAUGACCUUUGAGAAUAACUUCGACUAGCUUUAUUAGGAAAUUUCUUUUCUUUUCAAACUUUUAUUGUUUUGUAUUUGAGAAUCAUAGAUCAUGCAACCAAUAAAGACCAGCUUUGAAUUGCCAUUGUGAUUGGUACUUUUGUGAUUGACAACAAAUUCACCUUUCUUUGGAUUCUAAUCAGAAGCUUGUAUCUUGUCUUGCAUUGCAUUUGUGUCUCAUUUCAAGAACUGAUGUCAAGUUGUGAUCAAUGGAGGAAGUUUCUUGCAAGACUUUGAUUUCCUUCUCAUGCAAUUUAUGACGCUUCAUUCUAUGAUUAUCUUUGCAAUUUACAGACUGGCUUUUGAGUGUUGAUUUGAUAAAGAUUUAGUGAAUAUGGUAAGUCUCUUUCUAUAUAUAGUCAUUUGCAAUGAACAACUAAAUUGAAUAACAUAACUCCAUAAAACAUUCAUUUAGUUUGGAACUACAAGUCUCUUAUAUUUCUUUGUUUAUUCUUUCUUUCUGCUAUUUUAUUGCUUCUAAUUGAAGGACGGAUUUUCAUGUUUUAACCUUUUGUUAAAACCAGUACUGCUUAUGUUCCAUGAAUUUUCCAGUAUCCACUCAUGAACUUUCUGAAUUCUCUUUGGAUAUGAAGGGAGAUGCUGAUAUGGCCGGAGUCAGAGUGAAUUGUUCUCCUUUUCAACAUUGAAGAGCUAUAAUAUAAAAGACAGCUUUGGUUCACCAAUUCAGGGGUUUAUCUGAUGUCUGUCUGAGCUGAUUUUUGGACAAUGGCUAAUAGCCUCGAGGAUUUCGAUUGUGCAAGGUUGGAUUUUUCAUUCGGAUUUGUAUCUUUUGGUUUUUCAUUUUCAAUGUUAGUCAUAUUUGGGUGAUAUCCUCUACUUUCCAGCGAAUAGUUUUGUUGGAGUCGUAUGCUUUUUAUUGUGGUUUUUACCCUCAACCCCUUGCUUCAAGGGGGUUUUCCAUGUAAAAGAUCACAUGUUUUGUUUAAUUGGUUCCUUACGAUUAUUGAGUUUUAUUUUGUGCAAUUAAGUUUACUAUAAAUAUUAAUUGAUAUAAAAAACAGUAUAAGUUUUUAUGCAGAUAGUCUUAAAUUUGUAAAUGCUCCUAAAAAUUUAACUCAUGAGAUCCUGAUUAAAAGUGCUCACAUGAACGGCGGCUUAACAUUUGGAUUGAGUUAUUAUACUGUAUUAAUAUAACUUAUAUUUAUCCAAGUUGGGUUGAAUUCGAAAUAUUAGUCUAAUUUUUUCUAACUCAUUCAUAUUUCUAAAUGCCCCAAGCUCACCCUUAUGUUUAAAGUUUAAACCUCCAUUCACAUAAUGAUUUAUGUUUAAUUAAUUCAUUUGACCUUAUCAAAUAGUAAUACUUCAAGUUUCAACUUGAUUAUUAUAUUUUCUCAAAGGCUUUUUGGAUCCACUAAUUGAGUUUAGCUUAAUUUUGGCUCACUUAAUCAAUUAUUUAUUUCAUGGGUCAGACCAAGAAUUUUGCUGCAAAAUCUUGCACAUCCAAAAUUUUGAUAUUACAAAUCAAAGAAAAUGAUUAAUCCAACUUCCACAAAUGACUAAUUCAAGUUUGAAACUUAUCACACGUAAUUAAAAUGUGGAUUUUCAGUUCUCAACGUAAAUUAUUGUUAUGGGUUGAUUUUAGUUUAAUUAAUUAGUUUAUAGUUUGAAUUUGUUCUAGCUACUAAUUUGUUCUAUAAUAAUUUGGUGAUACAUAUAUAUCAUUUUUCUUGUGUUUUAUUUUGUGUGAGCUUUUAAGUCCCGUGGUUUUUACCCUUUGCUUUAAUAGGUUUUUCAUGUAAAAAAUUACAUAUCUCAUUUAAUUUGUUCCUUACAAUUAUUUUGUUUUAUUUUGAGCUGAUCCAUGAUAUAUUAUACGUUUGCCAUAAUUAUUAAUUAAUAUUUAUUAAGAAUAAAAGAACACCAAUUAUAGAUCUAAACAAUGUUGAAUGUAUUCGAUUUCAUCCCAUCAAAAUUCAAAGAUUGCCCCACAUUUCAGAUUUACAUCUUUGACUGCAUUUUUUGUUAGUUAUAUGAAGUAGCGAUGUUGUUAAAUGUAUAGUAGUAUUGUUGGGAAGAUCACAAAUUUUUUUUACAAUAUUUUGGAUUGUAUAUUAGUCUUUUUAUUGAAAAACGAAUAAAUUAAUCCUUCAAAAAGUUAUAAAAUGAUCACUAAAUUAUUUGAGUUUCCGUUUCAGUUAAUGGGCAAUUAAAUUGUUAUUGUAUGGCAUUAUCUGUUUGCGUUCCUUACACUAAUCAAAAGCUCUCGUUUUUCUUAUUUUUUAUAGUUCAAAUUUUCAUUACAAAUUUACAAAUCAAAAUUCAAACAAUUUUUUAUUUUUUUUAUAUUUUUGACAUUGAUUGUUAGAUUGUAGUUCACUAGCUAAACUUUAAGAAAAAAACUUAACAACCUACUAACUAAAUAAAAACUUUCGAAUAAUUUAGUGAUUUAAAUAAAAACUUUUGAAUAGUUUAAUGGUCAUUUUGUAACUUUAUGAGGUUAGGUAACCAAAAUAUAAACUUAAUAAUAGUUUAGUGACCUUAAGUGUAGUUUACCCUUAAUAUAAUAUUAUGUUAAAUUCAAGUUAAUUUUUACAUAAAAAUCAAGCUUACUCUUAAAAUGUUCUUUUUUUGGAAAACAACUUAUGUUUUUGAAAAGAGGAAUUCGAUUUCUAGAAAAAAAUGAUUUAAUUUUUAUUGACUUGUAUCUCAUUUUUUGUUUAUCAAAUUAUUUUUUAUGAAACAAAUUUGAAAAAUAUAAAAAAAAAAUCUAUAAAUCAUUUUUCAAGAAGUAGAGACAACUUAAAUUUGAAAGGAAACUCAGUAUUAGAGGUGCUCAUGGGCCGGGUUCGUGCCGGGCCCAGAAAAAAUUUUAGCCCGUGUCCUAGGCCUCGGCCCGGCCCGGCCUGAAAUAUGGGUUUGAAUUUUUGUCCAGGCCCGGGGAAAAAAUCCUAAGCCCGAGCCUGGCCCGGCCUAGUCCACUUUUUAAAUAAAUACCAAAAAUUUAUUUUAAAAAUAAAAAAAUUUAAAAAAAUAUUUUAAAAAUAUUUUAAAAUUAAAAAAAAUAAAAAUAUAUUUAUUAUAUUCGGGCCAGGCCCAGGCUCGGGCCAAAAAAGUUGUGCUCGAGGCCAGAUCCGUUUUCUAAACGGGCCUCAUUUUUUUGCCCAAACCCAUAUUUCGGGCCUAUAUUUUUACCCAAAUUCUCCAAUAUUUCGGGCGAGCCGUCGCGCCAACCGGGCCGCCUGGCCCAUGAGCACCUCUACUCAGCAUAUAAUAUUUGCACAAAAUGACACUUAAAACUUGAAAAGUCUCAUUCUUAAUGUCUCUAUCAUACCUUCAGAUAUACAUGGGCCGAACCGAAUCAAGGCUCAACUUAAAAAAAGUCAAACCCGGUUCCAAGCAUCUCAUACCCAAUAAGCCUAUAUUACGGUUUGAAUAAUAAUAUUUUUUAAAACACACUUUUAUAUUAAUAUUUAUAUAUUUUUAUAAUUAAAAAUCAUUUAACUCAAGUUAGAGAGAUCAAGGGUGGGUUUGUAUGGGCGAUUAAGUGCGGUGCAGUACGUUUAGCCUACUUUUUGUCUCACACUACAGUGUUGUUACAGUAUCUAAUCUCACCGCUACCACUGUUUUUACAUUAACCGCAGGUAAACGCACUGCCUAUCCAAACUCACUCCAAGUUAGGGAAACUUUUUUAUCCAAAUUAAAUCAAAGUGAUCAAAUCGGGUGGAUCAUCCAAUUCCUCAACAUGUCUAAUCAUUCAUCAUGAGUCAUGAUUAGAGGUGUUUAUAGGUGAGUUUAGAUAUGAUAUUAACACAUUUUAUACUUACCAAACGUAAUUCAAUUUAAGAAAUGAGUCUAAAAUUUUGCUCAAGUUUACUAAUAUUAAUAAAUUACUAAUUCAAAUCCAUUUUAAGCUUGUACAUAUUAAUUUAAAAAAUAAAAUACAUUUAUAUUAUUUUUAAUUUAAUAUUUAUUAAAAUUAUAUAUAUUCAUCUUAACAUUUUCUAAUGUUUACAUUAUAAUAUUAUUAUUUAUUAUUAUAAAUUUAAUUUUUAUGUAUUAUAAAUUAUAUAAUAUAUGAAAAUAGUAUAAUAUAAAAUAUUAUAAAUCUUUAAAAACAAAUAAAAUUAAAUCGAAUUUUAUAUAUUUAAGUCUGAACUCGAUUUAUAUUUUAAACAAAAUUAAUUAAUUUUAUAAAAUAAAUCUAAUUUUUUUAUUUAAAUCUUCACAAAUUUUAGACAAACUUUUAACGGAUAUAGUCAUGAAUCAAGAGGUACAGUAUUGACAUUUAAAACACGUUGUUGUACAAUCAUAACAAAAGAAAAGGAGUGUUCUAAGACCAUACAUUUUACCAACCACUUGCCUGCCUCUUAAACACAAAAGCUUUAAAGCUGCAAUGAUAUGACAAAACGGGCAUUUAUUUGUUUCUAUCAACUUAACGUACAUGGUAUUAAUAUUUUAGGGUGCACUGAUAUAUGAUUUACAGCAAUGGUCUCAUUCCACAGCAUCUACAUCUGCAUCUGCAUCAUCCAUCUUCUUAUUGGUGAUGAAGCCUAAAACCUGCCAUUGUUGAUAAAUUGAUUUCCCUGUCUGACACCCUGUUUCUUACCCAUGACUGAAGGUCCUCUUUUAUCUCCAACGUAAUUAUUUCAGUCGGCCCCAAUCGCAAUAAUGGUAGGAGAGAGAGACUUUCCAACGCCAUGCAGACCAAACAUGGAAACUGUCUCCACAUUAUCACUCACUCAUAUCCUCUCUAGUUUUUUUUUAAAGGGUUAAUGUGUAAAUUUCUCAGUUCAAAUUGAAAUUUAUACCAUAAUGUUAUAUUUUAAGUUAUAUUUAUCAAUAUAUUUUAAAGCAAAAAAAAAAUUACCACUAUAUUUUAGUUUUAUUCUUAAAAUAUAAUGAUAAAUACUAAUCAAAAUAAUAUAUAGUGACAAAUUUUAAAUGUAUAGUAGUAUUGUUGGGAAGAUGACAAAAUUUUUUGUACAAUAUUUUGGAUUGUAUAUUAGUCUCUUUAUUGAAAAACAAAUAAAUUAAUCCUUCAAAAAGUUAUAAAAUGAUCACUAAACUAUUUGAAUUUCUAUUUCAGUCAAUGUGCAAUUAAAUUGUUAUUGUAUGGUCUUAUCUGUUCGCACUCCUUACACUAAUCAAAAGCUCUCAUUUUCUUUUUUUUUUAUAGUUCAAUUUUUCAUUACAAAUUUGCGAAUCAAAUUUCAAACAAUUUUUUAUUUUUUUAUAUUUUUGACAUUGAUUGUUAGAUUAUAGUUCACUAGCCAAACUUAAAAAAAAAAACUUAACAAUCUAGUGACUUAAAUAAAAACUUUCGAAUAGUUUAAUAACUUAAAUGAAAACUUUUGAAUAGUUUAGUGAUCAUUUUGUAACUUUAUGAAGUUGGGUAACCAAAAUAUAAACUUAAUAAUAGUUUAAUGACCUUGAGUGUAGUUUACCCUUAAUAUAAUAUUAUGUUAGAUUCAAGCUAAUUUUUACAUAAAAAUCAAGUUUACUCUUACAAUGUUCUUUUUUUGGAACACAACUUACGUUUUUCAAAAGGGGAAUUCAAUUUCUAGAAAAAAAUGAUUUAUUUUUUAUUGACUUGUAUCUCAUUUUUUGUUUACCAAAUUAUUUUUUAUGAAACAAAUUUGAAAAAUGUAAAAAAAAUCUGUAAAUAAUUUUUCAUGAAAAUAGAAGCAACUUAAAUUUGAAAAGAAACUCGGCAUAUAAUAUUUACACAAAAUGACACUUAAAACUUGAAAAGUCUCAUUCUUAAUGUCUCUAUCAUACCUAGAGAUGUACAUGGGUCGAACCGGAUCAAGGCUCAACUUAAAAAAAAUGUCAAACCCGGUUCCAAGCAUCUCACACCCAAUAAGCCUAUAUUACGGUUUGAAUAAUAAUAUUUUUUAAAACACACUUUUAUAUUAAUAUUUAUAUGUUUUUAUAAUUAAAAAUUAUUUAACUCAGGUUAGAUAGAUCAAGUUAGGGAAACAUUUUUAUCCAAAUUAAAUCAAACCGAAUUCGGGUGGAUCAUCCAAUUCCUCAACAUGUCUAAUCAUUCAUCAUGAGUCAUGAUUAGAGGUGUUUAUGGGUUGAGUUUAGAUAUUAUAUUAACACACUUUAUACUUACCAAACGUAAUUCAGUUUAAAUUGCUAAUUCAAACGUAAUUUUACUCAAGUUUAUCAAUAUUAAUAAAUUACUAAUUCAAAUCCAUUUUAGGCUUGUACAUGUUAAUUAAAAAAUAAAAUAUAUUUAUAUUAUUUUUAAUUAAUAUUUAUUAAAAUUAUAUAUAUUCAUCUUAACUGUAACAGCCUAAUUUUUAGUGGUGUCGAAAACAGUGAUUCGAGAUCACUAAAUCUGACCAGUGAGUUUUAAAUUUUAAUAAAUAAAUACAUAUGAGUCAAGUAUGAUUAUAGAAGAAUUUUAGAUUAGUGAAUUCUGUGAUUUAAAAAGAAAAUAAUAAGUAAAUUGGGUCUAAAACGAGGUAUUGAAACAUCGAACUCAUAAACCAAGCCAUAAAUAUUUUUAAAAAUAUUUAUAAAGUGUCAUUGAGUUGGGAUUAAAGUUUCGUUAGAAAAUUCUAACGUUUGAAUGGUCAAUUAAUUAAAAAAUACUAAAUUAAGAAUAGUACAAAAUUUAUUAAAUUAUGAUUAAAUAGCUUAAGUGACUAAUAAGGAUGGAUUUAAAAGGCAAUUAGGCCCAAAUUAUAUGGGCUGGACUGUUUGGGCAAGAAAAUCAGCAAGAAAACAAGGAGAAACAAGGGCAAAAUUAGAAAUUUUACAAAUUAAACAUAUAAAACAAAGACAAAAUUGAAAAAUCUAGAUAUUUCUUCAUAAUUCAGCAGCAAAAACACCACAGGAGGUCUGAAACAAGCUGAUUUCUCAUAUUUUUAUACCAUGUGAGUUCAACUCUUGCUUUUCUUUGAAAUUUUUAUGUUUUGUGAUUUUUACAACUAGGUUCAACAAUUGAAUUCAUUAGUUUUUUAUUCCAUGUGUGAUUUUGUAAGUUACCAUGAAUAAGUGAUGGAAGUUUAUGAUGAGUUAUCAUAGAUUUGAAGCUUUAAUUUCAUUAUAUUAUGAUUUUAUUAAGUGAUUUUAGUAGAAAAUGAUUUUUAGGACCUAAUUGUGAAAAAGCUAGGAAUUGGGGUUUUGUACUGAAAUUUUGAAUACUAAAGGCUGUAUAAUAGCCUAAAAUGAUUAGACAAAGUGUUGUUUGAGGACAAAUUUGUUCAAUUGAAGUGUUAAUUGAGUAGGGACUAAAUUGUAAAAACUAUAAAUUUUGGGGUAAACGUAUAAUUUCAAAAAUUGAAGGGUAUAAAUUGCAAAAUGAAUUAGUAUUGAAAUAGAUGCUAAUGAAUGAAAAAAAUAUAUUAUAGAUUGGGAAUCUGAAGAUAAAUAAGAAAAAGAAAAAGUCGCUGAUUAGUUCCUAAAAUAUUACAACUCCUACAAAUUGGCCUAGGUAAGUUCAUACAGCUGAACUUUUAUGAUUAAUUGUAAAUGGGGGAAUGAUAUAAUGUAUUAAUUCGUGUUUUGUAGUUGAAUUAUGAUUAUUAUAAAAAAAAAAGUAAAAAUCAAAAUUUAAGUUCAAAUUAAGGGAUACGCAAGAAUGAGUACGUUUAGUAACCAGUGAUGAAUUAACGAAUAAGUCCAUGGUGGAUCCAUGGUAAAGUGUGGAACGUAGGUAUGGCAUUUCAGUAAAGAAAACCAUACUGAGUUGUGGAACGUAAAUAUGGUAUUAUAGUAAAGAAAACCAUAUUGAGUUGUGGAACGUAGGUAUGAUAUUUCAGUAAAGAAAACCAUACUAAGUUGUGAAAAGUAGGUAUAGUAUUUCAGUGAAGAAAAUCAUACUGAGUUAUAGCAUUGUAAAUGAUUCAAGCAAAUCAUGGCACCGGGCAAACGAAGUACUCAAAUCCAUAAGACGGUCCUUAAUUUGACAAGUAUUUGUAAAUGCAAUUGAAGCUAAAUGUUGGAAAUAAGUUGGUAUCUGAUAUUGAGCUAGAUUGAGUAAAUUCAUUGUUUAAGAUUGUGGUUGGCAAGAAAUAUUGUAUUAUACUUGUUUAUUAUUAUUGUUAGUGAAAUUUUGGUAAGAUUUUAUUAUGAGCCUAUGAACUUACUAAGCUUUCUGUAAGCUUAUAUGCGUGUGUUUAUUGUUUCUUGUAGAUUGACGUAUAUGUGUUCGGAGGAUCAGGUUUACAUCAAGGAUCACACUAUUCAGAUUUACCUCGGUAGAUUUUGUUAAACAACUUUUUAAUUUAUAUGGCAUGCAUAGGGGUUGAAGUAAAAAGUAAUAGUAUGAAUGAUUAAGUAUGCAAAGUAAAUCUGAAUGUGAUGGUUGUGUUAGAUAUUGAAAUAUAUAUGUUUUAGCUUGAAACGGUUGAUUGGUUGGACUUUAUUAGUAUAUAAAUGUGUUUUUGUGUAGGAGGAUAGUAUGAAGGUAAGAAAAGUGGACUUAAAUGGUCUGGUUUUGUGUGUUUGAUUGUGUUUAAGUCUGGUAAUGCCUUGUAUCCUGUUCCAACGUCGGACACGGGUAAAGUGUGUUACAUUAACAUUUUUUAAUGUUUAUAUUAUAAUAUUAUUAUUUACUAUUAUAGAUUUAAUUUUUAUGUAUUAUAAAUUACAUAAUAUAUAAAAAUAAUAGAAUAUAAAAUAUUAUAAAAUUUUAAAAACAAAUAGAAUUAAAUCGAAUAUUAUAUAUUUAAGUUUGAAUUCGAUUUAUAUUUUAAACAAAAUUAAUUAAAUUUAUAAAAUAAAUCUAAAUUUUUUAUUUAAAUCUCCACAAAUUUUAGACAAACUUUCAACGGAUAUAGUCAUGAAUCAAGAGGUAGAGUGAUAGACAUUUAAAACACGUUAUUGUACAAUCAUAACAAAAGAAAAGGAGUGUUCUAAGACCAUAAAUUUUACCAACCACUUGCCUGCCUCUUAAACACAAAAGCUUUAAAGCUGCAAUGAUAUGACAAAACGGGCAUUUAUUUGUUUCUAUCAACUUAACGUACAUGGUAUUAAUAUUUUAGGGUGCACUGAUAUAUGAUUUACAGCAAUGGUCUCAUUCCACAGCAUCUGCAUCUGCAUCUGCAUCUGCAUCAUCCACCUUCUUAUUGGUGAUGAAGCCUAAAACCCGCCAUUGUUGAUAAAUUGAUUUCCCUGUCUGACACCCUGUUUCGUACCCAUGACUGAAGGUCCUCUUUUAUCUCCAACGUAAUUAUUUCAGUCGGCCCCAAUUGCAAUAAUGGUAGGAGAGAGAGACUUUCCAACGCCAUGCAGACCAAACAUGGAAACUGUCUCCACAUUAUCACUCACUCAUAUCCUCUCUAGUUUUUUUUUAAAGGGUUAAUGUGUAAAUUUCGGAGCUCAAAUUGAAAUUUAUACCCUAAUGUUAUAUUUUAAGUUAUAUUUAUCAAUAUACUUUAAAGCAAAAAAAAAAAUUUACCACUAUAUUUUAGUUUUAUUCUUAAAAUAUAAUGAUAAAUACUAAUCAAAAUAAUAUAUAGUGACAAAUUUUAAAUAUACACUAAUAAUAUAAUAAUAAAUUCCCAUUUUAACCCUUUUUUAAGAUUAAUUUUCAAAAAAACAAAUCAAUAAAUUUGAAAAACCUAAUUUUAUGAAUAUCAAAAAUUAAGAUUUAAAUAAUAUAAUAUUAUACAUUGAUACCUUAUUCAAAGGCAUAAGGAAUCUCUAUAAAGUAAAUCGCAUUUCUAUUUUCGGUCUUUAAUUUUUUUUUGUUCAUUUCAUUUUUAAUGUUAUAUGAUCUCAAUUUAAUUCUUUAGAUGUUAAAAGCUAAUGGUUGAAAUAUUCAUCCAUGUUACUACAUGUCAUAAAUAUGAUGCUAUCAUUUAAAAAACCUUUAAAAAUGAAAAAUUACAAAAAAAAUUAUUAAAAUUAUUAAAAUUAUUUAAAAUAGAAAAAUUAUAAAAAUUAUAAAAACUAACAUAAAAAUUUUAACAAGUUUGUUAUUAUUAAGUUUUACAUUCUUCGUGGCCAAAUAAGGUUUUAUAUAUAUAUAUAAACAAUCUAAAAAUAUUAAUUAACUACAAAAUAGUCUAGGUUUUUUAUUGGAAUAUAUUAAAAAAAUAUAAAUAUCGAAAUAGGUUGUCAGAUAGAUUAAUUAUCGAAAUGGUAUGUUUUUUUUAAUGGCGCCUAUCUGACAGGCGCCAAUGAAUUUUUUAUAUUAAUAUUUUUUCUUUUAAUAAAAUAUUAUUUUUUUCCGGAUCAGUAUAUGACCCAUUUUCUAUGAUAUAAUUGUAUCCCUUUUAUCUUGUCGGCAAUAGAUUAAAAUUAAACUUAUUGAUUAAUGUUGGUACCGAGUCAGGUUUAUGUAAUGUAUUUAGAUCAAUUUUUUAAGUUUGGAUUCGGCUCAGCUCAAAAAAUGAAUUUAUUUUUUUGCCCAAAUUUGACUCAAUUUAAUAAAAGUAAAUUCAGGUCUGGCCUAACUCGUUCAUAUUUGAUUUUUUUUAGAUUAGUUUUUAUUUAAAAAUAAAUUUCUAAAAAAUAUAAUACUAAAAAACUUUAAAAUAAAAGUUUUCUAACACAUUAGAAAUACAUUAAAAACUAUUUAUAUUAAAAAUACUAUUAUAAAUAUAAUAAAUAUUUUAUUGUAUUAAAUAUAAUUUUUAAAAUUUUAUAUUUUGGGUUGAGUUACUUAGUUUGGUAAGUUUUUUUUUUAGAUUUUGGGUAAUAGAUUUAAUUGUUAUUGAAUUAGUGAUUUAAUAUAAAUAUAAAUAUAAAUAUAAAUAUUAUUUAACAUAUAUAAUUAAUAUCAUAUUGUUAUAACAUAAUAUACUAGAGUCAAGCCAAGUUCAGACAAAAAAUUAUAUCCAAAUCCCGACUCAUAUAGAAAAUGGGUCAUAUACUGAUCCGGAAAAAAUUAAUAAUAUUUUAUUAAAAGAAAAAAAUUUAAUAUAAAAAAUUCAUUGGCGCCUGUCAGAGAAUCGCCAUUAAAAAGAAAAAAAAUAAUAUAAAAAAUUCAUUAGCUCCUGUCAAAUAGGCACCAUUAAAAAAAAUACCAUUUCGAUAAUUAAUCUAUCUGACAACCUAUUUCGGUAUUUAAUUUUUUUAAUAUAUUCCUAUAAAAACCCAAAUAGUCUUGGAGGAAAAAUUAUAUGCAAAAACGACUCAUUUGUUAUAGUAUUAGUCGGUGCCGUUUAAUCAAUCGGCGAUAUCACUUUCUUUUUUCUCUAAUCCUGAUUAAUCAUCAGUGUUUUAAAAAAAGAUUUUUUUGUACCACCUGACACAAUAGUGGCACUGAACUGAAGUACGAUUAUGUAAAAUGUUUAGAAACCAGAUGAAGUAAUUGCCUGUUUUUGAUUGGUUGGAAAAUAAUUACAAAUAUAAGAUAACAAAAAUAAACUCUUUUCAUUUUUUUAAAAAUAAUAAAAUUAAAAAUAUAUAUAAUAUUCUUAUUUAAAUUAUCCAAAUAUAUCCUUUAAAAAUUUUCUUUAAAUUUAUCUAAAUUUAAAUAUUUUCGUUAAAUUAAAAAUUAUCAAAUAUAAUAUUACUUGAAACCCAAAUACUAGACCAUUUUACCAAUAAAGACCCAUUUCUAACUUUAUUUACGAAAAUAGACCACUUUUUUCAUUAUUUACCGGAAUGAGCUGAAAACACUAAAAUGUGUCCACAAAAUAGUGUUUUAAGGGGAAAUUCUAGCAAAACGUGCCCCUGAGGGAGUAAUUUUGCCAUGUCAGCACAGAAUACACUGACGUGAACGCGCUUUGCUAACGUGGCAAAAUCGCUCCCUCAGGGACGCACUUUAGCCCGUGUUUUUCUAGUGUUAGGGCUAUUUGCAUGUUUAGUGCCUAAAGUUUGUGGGUUUAGGUUUUAGGAUUAUAGUGUUAGUAUUUUGUUAAUAUAAUUUAGGAUUUUAUUUAUUUAAAGUUUAAGAAAUUUUAAAAAUAAAUUAGGGUUAUAUGAAGUAGCGAUGUUGUUAAAUGUAUAGUAGUAUUGUUGGGAAUAUCACAAAAUUUUUUGUACUAUAUUUUGGAUUGUAUAUGAGUCUCUUUAUUGAAAAACAAAUAAAUUAAUUCUUCAAAAAGUUAUAAAAUGAUUACUAAAUUAUUUGAGUUUCCAUUUCAGUCAAUGGGCAAUUAAAUUAUUAUUGUAUAGCCUUAUCUGUUCGCACUCCUUAUACUAAUCGAAAGCUCCCAUUUUCCUUAUUUUUUUUAUAGUUUAAUUUUUCAUUACAAAUUUGCGAAUCAAAAUUCAAACAAAUUUUUUUAUUUUUUCUUAUAUUUUUGACAUUGAUUGUUAGAUUGUAGUUCACUAGUCAAACUUAAAAAAAAAACAACUUAACAAUCUAAUAACUUAAAUAAAAACUUUCGAAUAGUUUAGAAACUUAAAUGAAAACUUUUGAAUAGUUUAGUGAUCAUUUUGUAACUUUAUGAAGUUGGGUAACCAAAAUAUAAACUUAAUAAUAGUUUAAUGACAUUGAGUGUAGUUUACUCUUAAUAUAAUAUUAUGUUAGAUUCAAGUUAAUAUAAUAUUACUCUUUAAAUGUUCUUUUUUUGGAAAACAACUUAUGUUUUUCAAAAGAGGAAUUCGAUUCGUAGAAAAAAAUGAUUUAUUUUUUAUUGACUUGUAUCUCAUUUUUGUUUAUUAAAUUAUUUUUUAUGAAAAAAAUUUGAAAAAUGUAAAAAAAAAUAAAUCUAUAAAUCAUUUUUCAUGAAGUAGAAACAACUUAAAUUUGAAAGGAAACUUAGCAUAUAAUAUUUACACAAAAUGACACUUAAAACUUGAAAAGUUUCAUUCUUAAUGUCUUUAUAAUACCUAGAGAUAUACAUGGGUCGAACCAGAUCAAGGCUCAACUUAAAAAAAAUGUCAAACCCGGUUCCAAGCAUCUCACACCCAAUAAGCCUACAUUAUUGUUUGAAUAAUAGUACUUUUUAAAACAGACUUUUAGGGUAAGAGAUUAUGGAUGGUGUAGAGGUUGUCGUUGAUGAAUCAAAUGUGACCUAAGUGGGGAAUUUUUUUUUUCUUUAUUCUUCUUUUUCUACCACUGCAAGUUAAUGGGGGAUGCUAUAGAGACUACCGUUUCCACUUGGGAUGCCAACAUGGCAAGUUAAUUGGCUACCUCAGCUUUCUGUUAUGUCUAUAACGGUAGUAACCGAUUUGUCAUUUUUUUAAAGUUGAGCGACUGAAUUGAACCACAGUGACUGUUUUACCAGCUACAUCAAAGUUGAGUGACUGUUGGUGUAAUUUACCCUUAAAUUAAUUACUCAUUAUAGAUUUGUUGAAUCAAAUAUAUUUUCUUAUUAAUUCUACUACAGUAAUGUUUUUAUGAUUUUAGUAGUAGUAGAAUUGAGUUUAGAAACUAAUUUAAUUAAUUAAUUAAUAUUUAUUUAUUUUGGAAAAUAAAAAUAAUUAUUGGAUUGGAUUAAAUUAUAAAGUGUUAGGCCAAAAGUUAAAUAAACACAUAUAAUUAAACCCAAUACAUAAUAGGCCUAUCUAAACCCAUAUGUGAACACAAGGGGCGACAACCCUAAUAAAAUUAACAAGGUGUGUCACGCCUCCUUGCUCUAAUUAGAGUGGGAGCAUAUUUUUAUUUAAAUAACAUUAUUUGUUAAGGGCUUGUUCAACUAGGGUUCUUGUACCUCUCUUGUAAAUAGAUAGCAUCAGUUGACUUAAAAACACACUUCAUAAAUUAUCUAGUUAUCAUUAUUUUGCUAGAAAGUAGUGAGAAUUUAUUUACUUAAAAUAAAUUUUAUUUUCGGAGAAUUUCGAUAUAUACCAAUUUUUAUGGAGAGAACUAACUUUCCAACUGGAAGUAAGUAAAUCAUUUUAUUUUCUAUUAUUUGGUUCGUGUUACUCAAACUCAUACUCGAUGUAAUUUGUGGAACAAGGAUAGCAGAGAAUGUCAUUUAGUUGAAAGCCGGGAUCGACAUGAAUCUUCUUUCACAAUGCACAUGUAUGAUAGGAUCGACAUGGGUCGAACUUAGGCAUGAUAUUAACACGUUUUGUACUUGCCUAAGCGCAAUCCAACUCAAAAUAUGAGCCUAAAAUUUUAUUCAAAUUUACUAAUAUUUAUAAAUUGAUAACUCAAGCUCAUUUUAGACUUAUCCAUUUUAUUUUUAAAUAAAUUAAAAUUUAUUUAUAUUAAUUUUAAUUUAAUAUUUAUUAAAAUUUAAUAUUUAAUCAUAUUAAUAUUCUUUUUAUUUAUAUUAUAAUUAUAUUAUUUACAAUUAUAAUAAAUUUAAUUUUAUAUAACUCGGUUGAUAUUUUAAGCGAAAUAAAUGUUAGAGAAACUUUGAUCAGAGAUGACAUUUAAAAGACACUGCAGUAUGAUAACAAAAGAGAAGGUGGACUGUUCUAAGACCAUACAUUUUGCCUACCACUUACCUGCCACUUGAACACUAAAGCUUCAAAGCUGCAAUGAUAUGACAACACGACACGGCCAUUGAUAUAUGAUAAAAAUAUAAUUUUUAUUUUAAUCUUAUUAUUAUAUUUGAAGAUAAUACUAUAAACUACACAAGAAAUUUUAAAAAAUCCCAAAAUAAUGUCAUACAUUUAGUACACAAAACUCACUUCAAUUAAUUUUACCGAAGCAACUCAUCUUUCAUUUCUUCUCUCCAUUUCGAUUCCUGGACUCGGUAUCUUGUUGCUUUAAUUUUCUGGGUUAGAAAUCUCUUCUUUUCUUCUUUAUUUUCAAUGAUAUUUUUUUUCAAGUUAUUUCCUAACAUUUCAAACCUUUCAGAUGGCAGGAGCAAUGAUGGCAGAAGUUCUUUUGGGUGCUAUUUUGAAUGAAGCGGUGUCUAAAGCGAAUUCAAUUGCCACUAACCAAAUCAGCCGUAUAUCGAAUUUCAAGAAGGAGCUGAGAAGACUGGGCGACUCACUAGAAAUAAUGGAAGCUUUUUUGCAAGAUGCAGAGGAAAUGCAAACAAAGAAGGAAGCAGUGAAGCUUUGGUUGCAGAGGCUCAAAGAUGUUGCUGAUGAGGCUGCUGAUGUCCUUGAUGAGUUUGACUAUGAAAUUCUCCGAAGGAAACUGAAGAUUCGGAGCCAAAUUCGAAGGAAGGUAGUCGACUUCCUUUCUUCUGACAAUUCCAUUUUAUUUCGUCUCAAGAUGGCUAAAAAAAUUAAGGACAUCCUUGAAACACUGGAUGGCCUUAACAAACAGGCCAACGAAUUUGGUCUUCAGCAGAGAGCUACAGAACAUGUGUCUCCUAGAAGAUCAAAUGUGGAGACGUUCUCUGUCAUGGAUGACUCGCCCAUUGUUGGAAGGGAAAAUGAUGUCUCAAAGGUGGUUGACCUGUUAGUCAAUCCUAAAGAUGAGCAGGUUGUUUCUGUUGUACCUAUAGUAGGUAUGGCAGGUCUUGGCAAAACUGCAUUGGCAAAGCUGGUGUAUAAUGAUCUGCGUGUGAAAAGGCAUUUUGAUGUCAAAUCCUGGGUCUGUGUUUCUGAUCAUUUUGAUGUCAAAAAGAUUUUAGGGGCGAUGUUUGAACAGCUUACUGGUGAUAGCCGUACCUCAAUGCCAGAAAAUAUGGAUGCAAUGAUUAUGAAGCUCAAGAAGAAGAUUGAACAGGCCAAAGGAGAAAAAGAUCAGAUCAAGUAUCUUAUUGUACUUGAUGAUGUGUGGGAUGUUAAGAAAUGGGAGGAUCUAAAGCUUUGUCUGAAAGGAAUCAGUACAAAUGGCGGGAAUGGAGUUAUUGUGACAACACGCAAAGAAGAUGUAGGAUCAACAGUGCAAGCACUUUCG